GUACUUCUGCAGUACAAAUACUAAAACUGGAACAAUACAGAAAAGAUUAGCAUGUCCUCUGAUCAAGGAGGGAACAUUAUUAUAGUCACCCCUUUGA
ensembl:snRNA U6 U6 spliceosomal RNA